rnacentral:rRNA from 1 species
GGUCAAGCUACAAAGAGCUUUUGGUGGAUGACUUGGCUCAAGAAGGCGAUGAAGGACGUAGUAAGCUGCGAUAAGCCUCGGUGAGUCGCAAACAGACUUUGACCCGAGGAUUUCCGAAUGGGGCAACCCCUUACGAGUAAUAUCGUAAGAUCCCGCCGCAAGGCGGGAAGCGAUACCAGGAGAACUGAACCAUCUUAGUAACCUGAGGAACAGAAAAAAAUAUUUAUUCCCUCAGUAGCGGCGAGCGAACGGGGAAGAGCCUAAACCUUAUCUGCGUGAUAGCCUGUAUGCGUUGCAGGUAGGGGGUAGCGGAGUCCGGUUGGUCCGAUAUACAGAUCGGACGACUUGUCAAAAAACCAUUCUAUAACCGAAUAAUCUGGAAAGUUUAGCCAUAGCAGGUGAUAGCCCUGUAGGUGAAAUAGAAUGGCCAGGUUGGAUCGGAUUUCCAAGUAAUACGGGACACGUGAAACCCCGUAUGAAUCUGGGACGACCACGUCCUAAGGCUAAAUACUAUCUUGAGACCGAUAGUGCACAAGUAAUGUGAAUGAAAGUUGAAAAGAACGCCUGUAAGGCGAGUGAAAUAGUACCUGAAACCAUCAGCUUACACGCGGUCGGAGGCCUAUGACCCCGCAAGGGGUAACGGCUGACGGCGUGCCUUUUGCAUAAUGAACCGGCGAGUUACUUUACGCAGCAAGGUUAAUCCCUUAUGGGGAGAAGCCGUAGCGAAAGCGAGUCCGAAUGGGGCGAUUUAGUUGCGUUGAGUAGACCCGAAUGCCAUGUGAUCUACUUAUGGCCAGAGUGAAACUCGUGUAAAAACGAGUGGAGGCUCGAACCCGUUAACGUUGAAAAGUUAUGGGAUGAGCUGUGGGUUGGAGUGAAAGGCUAAUCAAACUUGGUUAUUGCUGGUUCUCCCCGAAAUAGCUUUAGGGCUAGCCUCGUGUCAUUAGUUACUGGAGGUAAAGUACUCGAUGGGCUAGGCGGCUUACCGGCUUGCCGAACCCAACGAAACUCUGAAUGCCAGUAACCAUAUCACGGGAGUCAGAAAGCGAGGGCUAAGCUUCGUUCUCAAAAGGAAAACAGUCCAGACCGACGGCUAAGGUUCCAAAAUUCAUGCUAAGUGGUAAAGGAUGUGAAACUUCUUAGACAACCAGGAUGUUGGCUUAGAGGCAGCCAUCAUUUAAAGAGUGCGUAACAGCUCACUGGUCGAGUGGUUUCGCGCCGAAAAUAAUCGGAGCUAAGCAUGGUACCGAAGCCUCGGAUUUUCGUCCCGCCUUCGGGCGGGGCAAAGUGGUAGGGGAGCGUUCCGUUGUACUGUGAAGGCAGACUGAGAAGACUGCUGGAGGAACCGGAAGCGAUUAUGCCGGAAUAAGUAGCGAAAAAAUACGCGAGAAACGUAUUCGCCGUAAGCCUAAGGUUUCCUGGGGAAGGUUAAUCCACCCAGGGUUAGUCGAUCCUAAGUCGAGGCCGAAAGGCGUAGAUGAUGGACAAUCUGUUCAAUAUUCAGAUACCACCCAUUACGCGUUAUCAACUAUAGAGUGACGCAGGAGGUAGAAGCAGCAGCCGGUUGGAUGUGGCUGUUUAAGCUCGUAGGUCCUAAUAAGACCGAGAGGCGAAUAGGAGCUGACUCUACGGAGAAAGCGAACUGCUUCGGGCCACACUGCCGAGAAAAACCUCUAAAGUGAGUUUGAUGGGUGAUCGUACCGUAAACCGACACAGGUAGGCGGGGAGAAUAUCCUCAGGCGCUCGAAUGAACACUCGUUAAGGAACUAGGCAAAAUAGCCUCGUAACUUCGGGAUAAGAGGUGCUCCAUUAGCGUAAAGUAAUUUCUUAUGUAGCGCGAAGGAGUGACACUAAAGUGGGCUUUGUGACUGUUUAGCAAAAACACAUGACUGUGCUAACUCGUAAGAGGAUGUAUACGGUCUGACACCUGCCCGGUGCUGGAAGGUUAAAAGGAGGGGUUAGUCCCCCUGCUUUCUUGCUUUCGCAAGAAAGCAAGAAGGGGGAUGAAGCUCUGACUUGAAGCCCCAGUAAACGGCGGCCGUAACUAUAACGGUCCUAAGGUUUCAAUGCCUUAGUAAAAUUUGGCUAUAUGCUGGAACGACUGAGUAUUUCAUAAUACCGAGGAGGUAAGAAUUUAUGAAUGCAGUUAAUCAGCAGGAAAGGCUAUCGAUAGACGAGAGGCGGAAUUGGUUUCUAGCCGGGUUUAUCGAGGGCGAAGGAAGCGUUUGCGUUUCGAUAAAGGAACAUCGGAAUGGCAAAUUUGGCUACCUGAUCGAUCCGGAGUUCUUUGUCUAUCAGCAUAAGAACAGACAAGGAAGUCUGGAGCUUGCCAGAGCAGUAUUUGGCACGGGUAGAAUUUAUCCGAAAUCCGGGAAUCCGGAUGUUUUGGUCUUCGCAAUCGACGCUAGAAAAUCCCUCAUAGAGAGGGUGAUUCCAUUUCUCGAUCAAUACUCGAUAUUUUCGUCCAAGCUAUCCGAUUAUGAAAAAUUUAAGAAGAUAGUGAUGGCUCUUGAGAAGAAGGAGCACUGGACGAAAGAGGGGAUGAUCCGCAUCAUAAGGCUUGCCUACACGAUGAAUUUGGAGGGCAAGCAGAGAAAACGGGACAUUCAAGAAGUUAUCGAUAGAAUCCUCAGAGACUAUACGCCAGACACCGCAUGAAAGUGCGGUUGAAGAUAUAGUCCGUACCUCAUAGCGAUAUGAGGAGGUUAAUAGAAAUAUUAGCCCGCCUUGCUUUGAAGCAAGGUCCAGUUAAAGUAACAGAUUAGAGCGAAAUUCCUUGUCGGGUAAGUUCCGACCCGCACGAAUGGUGUAGCAACAGAGCCGCUGUCUCAACGAGUGAGUCGGCGAAAUUGUAGUAUCGGUGAAGAUGCCGGUUACCUGCAUCAAGACGAAAAGACCCCGGAACCUUUACUGUACUCUGGUACUGGAUUUUGAUCCUGUAUGUGUAG